rnacentral:rRNA from 1 species
GACGAACGCUGGCGGCGUGCUUAACACAUGCGAGUCGAACGGAAAGGCCCUGCUUUUGUGGGGUGCUCGAGUGGCGAACGGGUGAGUAACACGUGAGUAACCUGCCCUUGACUUUGGGAUAACUUCAGGAAACUGGGGCUAAUACCGGAUAGGAGCUCCUGCUGCAUGGUGGGGGUUGGAAAGUUUCGGCGGUUGGGGAUGGACUCGCGGCUUAUCAGCUUGUUGGUGGGGUAGUGGCUUACCAAGGCUUUGACGGGUAGCCGGCCUGAGAGGGUGACCGGCCACAUUGGGACUGAGAGACGGCCCAGACUCCUACGGGAGGCAGCAGUGGGGAAUAUUGCACAAUGGGCGGAAGCCUGAUGCAGCAACGCCGCGUGCGGGAUGACGGCCUUCGGGUUGUAAACCGCUUUCGCCUGUGACGAAGCGUGAGUGACGGUAAUGGGUAAAGAAGCACCGGCUAACUACGUG